ensembl:lncRNA
CUCGCUGAGGCUGAAGCUGAAGCCACACCCCCUUCCGGUUGCUCGCCCUGGGUUGUUGCCGGUGUUUAGAACCUUCGGCAUGUUAUCUUGAUUGGCGUCGGGUAGCUACGUUUAGUGUUACCAACGGAAGCUACAGCGGCUGGAGCGGCUCCUGACGUGCUCUCCCUUGUGUGUAUGUGUGUGCGCGCCACGCAGCUGCUCAGAGUGGCAGCGCCAAGGACCCGCUGCUGUUUUGCCUUGCUGUUGUUUUGCUUCACUUUGGCCAUGUAUCUGUGAUGGGCUUGCUAUACGGCUAACUGCAGCUAGCCUCCGCUACUUCUCUGCCUCAUCGGCCUGGUCCGCUUCCCCUCGGCGUCAGCCGGGUUAGACCAGGCAGCUUGGGAAGGCUGAGCACCUGUGGCAGGGAACGUGGUGUCGUCGGUGGUGGUAUCCCUCCCCGUGUGAUGUGUGAACCCUGGGUAUUUUUCAUUUAAUCCAUCACGUGUGUGUGUGUGUGUGAGAUUUUAUUCACCUGGUGACCUCUCCCUGGGCCCUGUUCCUCCCCUCCGGUGAUACAUCCUGCCACAUGACCAAAGAACUACAGACUCUUCACAACCUGCUCAAACUCUUGGUACAGGACCUCACCACACGGGUCAAGAAGGUUUCUGUCUCAUUUCUACUCUGAAGCUCACCUUCUCCUGCUCAAACUGCUGACAAAUGUUUCUGCUGCUCUAAAGUCUGGUCUCCAGAACUUCCUAAAAACUCUCAAAGUCUCUUCUGCUGCAGGUUGCUUAGAACUGUUCCAGAAAACCUCACUAAACCACAUGGAGGGGCCUCAAGAUAGUUGUCCAAAUGAAUCUGUACAAAAACCAAACUAGUACAACCCAAACGCUAAAGUCUCCUGCAGCCUACCAGAGAACCUCUGAGAACAGAGAAUCAGGACAGGAACUCUUACCUUCUGGAGAAGAAGAAUAUAGAAUGUAUCUGACCAAAAACCUCUAAAGACUCACUACAGCCAAGAUAAAGACACAACUCAGCUGCACCAAAUCCACUAAUCACUGCACACAUUAGCACCAUGUGCCAACUGUGGCUAAAGAACCACAUUUACCAAGACAACUAUCCAGCACAAAGCCCUAAAACACACCAAGAAACACAUUAAAGACAAUUUUACUGCUGGAAGCUGCAAGCCAACGCCUAAAGAACAAACUAAAGCAAAGAAGCCAAACCUCAGUUGUGAAGAGAAGCAGACGAAAUGUUUGUCUGCAACUAAAAAAAGCAGGAAGACACUGAGCUGCUCAGGUGUUCCUGAUAACACCAAGCUGCUCAGGUGUUCCUGAUAACACCAAGCAGCCACCUGGACAGCCAAUGGGAACACAGCUUACUGGAAGUCCAGAGGGCUGGGUUAGUGAAGGAAAUUUAAUUUAAAGUUGAAGCAGAAAGUUAACAAAGAAAGUUGAAAACCACCUUCUGAUACCUGAAAUCUCUGAGUUUUCACACAAAGAACGCCUGAACAUGUCAAACUGGCUUCAUAGUAGAACCAUCAUUGUAAAAACAUCAUAGUAUGGUGUGUUGCUCAAAAAACAUUAGGACCCGGCUGUCAGGGGACAAACAUGUAAGAAACAUGAGAACAGAGAGAACCCAACCAGUAGGUCACAGUUUAUCAUCCCCCAGUCAUCUCCUGAAGUCCAUAUGAUGAGAGACAUCAGUAUCUGGUUGUUAAUUUACCAGAGGAUGCUUAUAAUCAUGCUGAUGUGGUCUGUACUCUACAGUAUUUUAGUGACUCAAUAAAUGCCUGUUGUUUUUUUUUAAAUGUUUUUUAGUUUUCAAUAAACAUUUAACAGCCUAUAUGUAAUCAAUAAAUGGCCUUUGCCUAUCUUAAGAAAAAUUCACUCAGAACUCUGAUAUGUUAACAGUACUAAAUAAAUCAAUAAAUGCAUUCAUACACACAAAAAUAAGUUAAUACAUUAACUGUGUUAAGAUAAGAUUUAGAUUUUUUAAAAAGUU